GAUGAACGCUGGCGGCGUGCCUAAUACAUGCAAGUCGAGCGAACAGACGAGGAGCUUGCUCCUUCGACGUUAGCGGCGGACGGGUGAGUAACACGUAGGUAACCUACCUAUAAGACUGGGAUAACUUCGGGAAACCGGAGCUAAUACCGGAAAAUAUUUCGAACCGCAUGGUUCGAUAGUGAAAGAUGGCUUUGCUAUCACUUAUAGAUGGACCUGCGCCGUAUUAGCUAGUUGGUAAGGUAACGGCUUACCAAGGCAACGAUACGUAGCCGACCUGAGAGGGUGAUCGGCCACACUGGAACUGAGACACGGUCCAGACUCCUACGGGAGGCAGCAGUAGGGAAUCUUCCGCAAUGGGCGAAAGCCUGACGGAGCAACGCCGCGUGAGUGAUGAAGGUCUUCGGAUCGUAAAACUCUGUUAUUAGGGAAGAACAAACGUGUAAGUAACUGUGCACGUCUUGACGGUACCUAAUCAGAAAGCCACGGCUAACUACGUG
rnacentral:rRNA from 1 species